GUGGGGAAUCUUAGACAAUGGGCGAAAGCCUGAUCCAGCAAUGCCGCGUGAGUGAUGAAGGCCCUAGGGUUGUAAAGCUCUUUUACCCGGGAUGAUAAUGACAGUACCGGGAGAAUAAGCUCCGGCUAACUCCGUGCCAGCAGCCGCGGUAAUACGGAGGGAGCUAGCGUUGUUCGGAAUUACUGGGCGUAAAGCGCGCGUAGGCGGUUUUCCAAGUCAGGGGUGAAAGCCCGGGGCUCAACCCCGGAAUAGCCCUUGAAACUGGAAGACUAGAAUCUUGGAGAGGUCAGUGGAAUUCCGAGUGUAGAGGUGAAAUUCGUAGAUAUUCGGAAGAACACCAGUGGCGAAGGCGACUGACUGGACAAGUAUUGACGCUGAGGUGCGAAAGCGUGGGGAGCAAACAGGAUUAGAUACCCCUGUAGUCC
rnacentral:rRNA from 1 species